rnacentral:lncRNA from 1 species
UCAUUCUAUCCCGUUCUAUCUUUCAAUGUUCUUUGAUCUUUAGCUAAUUUGAACGUCGGAGGAUCCUCACUGAAAAAUCUCCAGCAAAAAUUUUUUUGUACAGAUCCGAUUUUCUGUCUUGAAAUCUCGACAACUUUAUCGAUCUCAGUUUUUUCCUGGAGAUCAGCAUCAAAACUAAUCUAGCGAGAGAAUUACUCAUGUACAUUUCACGGG